GGGUUGUGAGGUUAAGCGACUAAGCGUACACGGUGGAUGCCCUGGCAGUCAGAGGCGAUGAAGGACGUGCUAAUCUGCGAAAAGCGUCGGUAAGGUGAUAUGAACCGUUAUAACCGGCGAUGUCCGAAUGGGGAAACCCAGUGCAAUUCGUUGCACUAUCGUUAACUGAAUACAUAGGUUAACGAGGCGAACCGGGGGGAACUGAAACAUCUAAGUACCCCGAGGAAAAGAAAUCAACCGAGAUUCCCCCAGUAGCGGCGAGCGAACGGGGAGCAGCCCAGAGUCUGAAUCAGCUUGUGUGUUAGUGGAACGGUCUGGAAAGUCCGACGGUACAGGGUGAUAGUCCCGUACACCAAAAUGCACAGGCUGUGAACUCGAAGAGUAGGGCGGGACACGUGGUAUCCUGUCUGAAUAUGGGGGGACCAUCCUCCAAGGCUAAAUACUCCUGACUGACCGAUAGUGAACCAGUACCGUGAGGGAAAGGCGAAAAGAACCCCGGCGAGGGGAGUGAAAAAGAACCUGAAACCGUGUACGUACAAGCAGUGGGAGCACCUUCGGGUGUGACUGCGUACCUUUUGUAUAAUGGGUCAGCGACUUAUAUUCUGUAGCAAGGUUAACCGUAUAGGGGAGCCGCAGGGAAACCGAGUCUUAACUGGGCGUUAAGUUGCAGGGUAUAGACCCGAAACCCGGUGAUCUAGCCAUGGGCAGGUUGAAGGUUGGGUAACACUAACUGGAGGACCGAACCGACUAAUGUUGAAAAAUUAGCGGAUGACUUGUGGCUGGGGGUGAAAGGCCAAUCAAACCGGGAGAUAGCUGGUUCUCCCCGAAAGCUAUUUAGGUAGCGCCUCGUGAAUUCAUCUUCGGGGGUAGAGCACUGUUUCGGCUAGGGGGUCAUCCCGACUUACCAACCCGAUGCAAACUACGAAUACCGAAGAAUGUUAUCACGGGAGACACACGGCGGGUGCUAACGUCCGUCGUGAAGAGGGGAAACAACCCAGACCGCCAGCUAAGGUCCCAAAGUCAUGGUUAAGUGGGAAACGAUGUGGGAAGGCACAGACAGCCAGGAUGUUGGCUUAGAAGCAGCCAUCAUUUAAAGAAAGCGUAAUAGCUCACUGGUCGAGUCGGCCUGCGCGGAAGAUGUAACGGGGCUAAACCAUGCACCGAAGCUGCGGCAGCGACACUAUGUGUUGUUGGGUAGGGGAGCGUUCUGUAAGCCUGCGAAGGUGACCUGUGAGGGUUGCUGGAGGUAUCAGAAGUGCGAAUGCUGACAUAAGUAACGAUAAAGCGGGUGAAAAGCCCGCUCGCCGGAAGACCAAGGGUUCCUGUCCAACGUUAAUCGGGGCAGGGUGAGUCGACCCCCUAAGGCGAGGCCGAAAGGCGUAGUCGAUGGGAAACAGGUUAAUAUUCCUGUACUUGGUGUUACUGCGAAGGGGGGACGGAGAAGGCUAUGUUAGCCGGGCGACGGUUGUCCCGGUUUAAGCAUGUAGGCUGGUUAUCCAGGCAAAUCCGGAUAAUCAAGGCUGAGGUGUGAUGACGAGGCACUACGGUGCUGAAGUAACAAAUGCCCUGCUUCCAGGAAAAGCCUCUAAGCAUCAGGUAACAUCAAAUCGUACCCCAAACCGACACAGGUGGUCAGGUAGAGAAUACCAAGGCGCUUGAGAGAACUCGGGUGAAGGAACUAGGCAAAAUGGUGCCGUAACUUCGGGAGAAGGCACGCUGGUGUGUAGGUGAAGUCCCUGCGGAUGGAGCUGAGACCAGUCGAAGAUACCAGCUGGCUGCAACUGUUUAUUAAAAACACAGCACUGUGCAAACACGAAAGUGGACGUAUACGGUGUGACGCCUGCCCGGUGCCGGAAGGUUAAUUGAUGGGGUUAUCCGUAAGGAGAAGCUCUUGAUCGAAGCCCCGGUAAACGGCGGCCGUAACUAUAACGGUCCUAAGGUAGCGAAAUUCCUUGUCGGGUAAGUUCCGACCUGCACGAAUGGCGUAAUGAUGGCCAGGCUGUCUCCACCCGAGACUCAGUGAAAUUGAACUCGCUGUGAAGAUGCAGUGUACCCGCGGCAAGACGGAAAGACCCCGUGAACCUUUACUAUAGCUUGACACUGAACAUUGAGCCUUGAUGUGUAGGAUAGGUGGGAGGCUUUGAAGCGUGGACGCCAGUCUGCGUGGAGCCAACCUUGAAAUACCACCCUUUAAUGUUUGAUGUUCUAACGUUGGCCCCUUACCGGGGUUGCGGACAGUGUCUGGUGGGUAGUUUGACUGGGGCGGUCUCCUCCCAAAGCGUAACGGAGGAGCACGAAGGUUAGCUAAUCCUGGUCGGACAUCAGGAGGUUAGUGCAAUGGCAUAAGCUAGCUUGACUGCGAGCGUGACGGCGCGAGCAGGUGCGAAAGCAGGUCAUAGUGAUCCGGUGGUUCUGAAUGGAAGGGCCAUCGCUCAACGGAUAAAAGGUACUCCGGGGAUAACAGGCUGAUACCGCCCAAGAGUUCAUAUCGACGGCGGUGUUUGGCACCUCGAUGUCGGCUCAUCACAUCCUGGGGCUGAAGUAGGUCCCAAGGGUAUGGCUGUUCGCCAUUUAAAGUGGUACGCGAGCUGGGUUUAGAACGUCGUGAGACAGUUCGGUCCCUAUCUGCCGUGGGCGCUGGAGAAUUGAGGGGGGCUGCUCCUAGUACGAGAGGACCGGAGUGGACGCAUCACUGGUGUUCGGGUUGUCAUGCCAAUGGCACUGCCCGGUAGCUAAAUGCGGAAGAGAUAAGUGCUGAAAGCAUCUAAGCACGAAACUUGCCCCGAGAUGAGUUCUCCCUGAGACUUUAAGUCUCCUGAAGGAACGUUGAAGACGACGACGUUGAUAGGCCGGGUGUGUAAGCGCAGCGAUGCGUUGAGCUAACCGGUACUAAUGAACCGUGAGGCUUAACCUUACAACGCCGAAG
rnacentral:rRNA from 1 species